rnacentral:rRNA from 1 species
AAUCCGCUAUGAGAUGGACCCGCGGCGCAUUAGCUAGUUGGUGGGGUAACGGCCUACCAAGGCGACGAUGCGUAGCCGACCUGAGAGGGUGAUCGGCCACAUUGGGACUGAGACACGGCCCAGACUCCUACGGGAGGCAGCAGUGGGGAAUAUUGCACAAUGGGGGAAACCCUGAUGCAGCAACGCCGCGUGAGUGAUGAAGGUUUUCGGAUCGUAAAGCUCUGUCUUUGGGGAAGAUAAUGACGGUACCCAAGGAGGAAGCCACGGCUAACUACGUGCCAGCAGCCGCGGUAAUACGUAGGUGGCGAGCGUUAUCCGGAUUUACUGGGCGUAAAGGGAGCGUAGGCGGAUGAUUAAGUGGGAUGUGAAAUACCCGGGCUCAACUUGGGUGCUGCAUUCCAAACUGGUUAUCUAGAGUGCAGGAGAGGAGAGUGGAAUUCCUAGUGUAGCGGUGAAAUGCGUAGA